UACGUAGGGGGCUAGCGUUGUCCGGAUUUAUUGGGCGUAAAGAGCGUGUAGGCGGCCAGGUAGGUCUGCUGUGAAAACUCGAGGCUCAACCUCGAGACGUCGGCGGAAACCAUCUGGCUAGAGUCCGGAAGAGGAGAGUGGAAUUCCUGGUGUAGCGGUGAAAUGCGCAGAUAUCAGGAAGAACACCCGUGGCGAAGGCGGCUCUCUGGGACGGUACUGACGCUGAGGCGCGAAAGCGUGGGUAGCAAACAGG
rnacentral:rRNA from 1 species